GGGCGAUUGGUUAAGUGGCAUAAUGAUUCUCUCCAAAAGAAUAGUCGGGAGUUCGAUUCUCUCAUCGCCCGCCA
rnacentral:tRNA from 3 species